rnacentral:rRNA from 1 species
UACGGAGGGAGCUAGCGUUGUUCGGAAUUACUGGGCGUAAAGAGUUCGUAGGCGGUUUGUCGCGUCGUUUGUGAAAACUCACAGCUCAACUGUGAGCCUGCAGGCGAUACGGGCAGACUUGAGUACUGCAGGGGAGACUGGAAUUCCUGGUGUAGCGGUGAAAUGCGCAGAUAUCAGGAGGAACACCGGUGGCGAAGGCGGCUAUCUGGAUCAACACUGACACUGAGGCACAAAAGCGUGGGUAGCAAACAGG